CUUGAUCAAUUAUAAGAGGUCAAGCCUGCCCAGUGACAUUGUUCAACGGCCGCGGUAUCCUAACCGUGCGAAGGUAGCGUAAUCACUUGUCCUUUAAAUAAGGACUAGUAUGAACGGCUUCACGAAGGCUAUACUGUCUCCUUAAUCUAAUCAAUUAAACUAAUCUCCCCGUGAAGAAGCGGGGAUUCGUCUAUAAGACGAGAAGACCCUAUGGAGCUUUAAACAUCUAAGACACUUGAUUAUAUCUACUAAACUUCAUGCAACCUAUCAUUUUGUCUUAAGUUUUAGGUUGGGGUGACCACGGAGAAAAAUUAAACCUCCACGUAGAAAGAAAAUUCUUUUCUAAGCAAAAAGCCACAUCUUAACGCAUCAAUAUAUUGACUUAAAUUGACCCAAUUUCUUGCUCAACGAAC
rnacentral:rRNA from 1 species